CGUGUAGGCGGUUUAAUAAGUCAGAUGUAAAAGCCCCCGGCUCAACCGGGGAUGGUCAUUUGAAACUGUUAGGCUUGAGUGUGAGAGAGGGUAGUGGAAUUCCCAGUGUAGCGGUGAAAUGCGUAGAUAUUGGGAAGAACACCAGUAGCGAAGGCGGCUACCUGGCUCGCAACUGACGCUAAGGCGCGAAAGCGUGGGGAGCAAACA
rnacentral:rRNA from 1 species